rnacentral:rRNA from 1 species
GUUUGUCGCGUCUGCUGUGAAAACUCGAGGCUCAACCUCGGGCUUGCAGUGGGUACGGGCAGACUAGAGUGCGGUAGGGGAGACUGGAAUUCCUGGUGUAGCGGUGGAAUGCGCAGAUAUCAGGAGGAACACCGAUGGCGAAGGCAGGUCUCUGGGCCGCAACUGACGCUGAGGAGCGAAAGCAUGGGGAGCGAACAGGAUUAGAUACCCUGGUAGUCCAUGCCGUAAACGUUGGGCACUAGGUGUGGGGCUCAUUCCACGAGUUCCGUGCCGCAGCAAACGCAUUAAGUGCCCCGCCUGGGGAGUACGGCCGCAAGGCUAAAACUCAAAGAAAUUGACGGGGGCCCGCACAAGCGGCGGAGCAUGCGGAUUAAUUCGAUGCAACGCGAAGAACCUUACCAAGGCUUGACAUACACCGGAAACUUCCAGAGAUGGUUGCCCCGCAAGGUCGGUGUACAGGUGGUGCAUGGUUGUCGUCAGCUCGUGUCGUGAGAUGUUGGGUUAAGUCCCGCAACGAGCGCAACCCUCGUCCUAUGUUGCCAGCACGUGAUGGUGGGGACUCAUAGGAGACUGCCGGGGUCAACUCGGAGGAAGGUGGGGAUGACGUCAAAUCAUCAUGCCCCUUAUGUCUUGGGCUUCACGCAUGCUACAAUGGCCGGUACAAAGGGCUGCGAUACCGCGAGGUGGAGCGAAUCCCAAAAAGCCGGUCUCAGUUCGGAUUGGGGUCUGCAACUCGACCCCAUGAAGUCGGAGUCGCUAGUAAUCGCAGAUCAGCAACGCUGCGGUGAAUACGUUCCCGGGCCUUGUACACACCGCCCGUCAAGUCACGAAAGUCGGUAACACCCGAAGCCGGUGG